GACAGAGGGUGCAAACGUUGUUCGGAAUUACUGGGCGUAAAGCGCGUGUAGGCAGCUCGGAAAGUCGGGUGUGAAAGCCCUGGGCUCAACCUAGGAAGUGCACUCGAAACUUCCGAGCUGGAGUGCUGGAGAGGAAGGCGGAAUUCUCGGUGUAGAGGUGAAAUUCGUAGAUAUCGAGAGGAACACCGGUGGCGAAGGCGGCCUUCUGGACAGUAACUGACGCUGAGACGCGAAAGCGUGGGGAGCAAACAGG
rnacentral:rRNA from 1 species